UCGACCUGGCAACAAUCUAACCGAGUAUUAGAUCUCUAAACAUUCUGGUUUUCUAAAGAUAUACAUAACAUGUCGCACCAAAGAUGACGCUCACGAAAACAAAGCUUAAGAAAUAAAAUCCUAUUUCAACAACUCUCUGAAAUUUUCAGAUUUCUAACAUAAAAUUCAAAGGACUAUAACUUUCUCAAUACUUUAUCAAAAUGAGUAUUCUUUAUAUCAAAAUCUUCAUUUUGAGAUCCUCUAAAACUUACCUAAAGACAUGUAAAUCUGAUUCCCUUUGGAUAAACUCAGAUAACCCUCGAAACAGAACCACUUCCAGAAUCGCGCGCACACGACCCCUUUAACUUGUCCCUACAAUUUAACUGAUUUUUAGUCGUUUUUGGUUCACGAUUUCUUCAUGAAAGUUGUAGAAAAUUGAAUACGCUUUCCAACCAUACUGAAUAGAGAUCCUAACUCUACUGGUAUACUCUGAAAUACAAGAAAAACCAGAAACCUCCUAGUUUCGAGUGAAAACCAACAUGUUUUCUUUAUCAAAAAAGCCCCCAAUGAAUAUCCGAAUUUGCUCCAACUUUCUUCAUAAAAUUUGUUUACAAAUGAGUUAACUUUCAGUAAAUGUAAACCUCACCUCUUAAUUCCUUUUGAAGAGUUGAAACUGAAUUAAAAACUAGUGAUGUGCAGAAUGAACUAAAAUUCAGCCAUGGAUACACUUUGCUUGAGUUCUCCUCCUCUUCUUCAACCUCAAAAUUCUAGUAAAAUUCCUCUUCUUCUUCCAAAAUCUCUCUUAAAUGUUCUCUGCAAAUUGAAGAAGGAAAAGAAUGGAAGUUGGAUGUCUUCAAAAUGUUUGGCGGUGAAGGGAAGAGAAGAAGAAGAAGAAAAGAAAAAAUGAAAUUUUCUUCUCUUUUUCUUCUUUUCAUCCUUUCUUUUCUUUCUUUUCUUUAAUUUAUUUAAUAAAAUUAUUUAAUAUAUACAUAUAUAUAUAUAUAUAUAUAUAUUUUUUUUACACUUAAUUUCCAUUUUCUUUUCUUUUUUUUUCCACAUUUAAAGAAAUUAAACCAAGAAAAUAUCGGGUUUACAGAGUGUAUGUUAGCUUUACCUAUUAGAGUCAUACCUACAGGAGUGUCCUUUGGGAUCACCACUCUUUUGACGGCUAUGUAGUCCGAUGGGAUCCCGAGUCUAACAUUGACAUUAACACCGACAUGAUUUGAGAGAUCUAACAGGAUUGCUCACACUUAUGACUGCAUAGUCCGACGAGACCACCAAUCUGACAUUGACAUUGACAUAGACCAGAUUGUUCCUACGAGAUCACAAGUUGCACGUGUUCGGGAACGUGCCAGUCAAGGGCAGAGGCAUAGGUAAGAGCAAAGGCAAGCUGGCGAAUGACCAGAAGUGACAGUGGCGAGCCACAAGAACCCGUUUGCUUCCGCUUUAUUUCAUAGUUCAAAUUUUAGUGUUUGCAUUUCUAAUUUAUUCUUUAUUUGUUAUUUUAUUUCUUUAAAAUUAGAUAGGGCCCGAGUUAGGAUUUUAUUUUUGACUUAUUUCUAAAUAUAUUUGUUUAUACUUUUAAUGAGAAAUUCGAGGUUUUGUUUUAA